rnacentral:tRNA from 3 species
GCAGUCGUGGCCGAGUGGUUAAGGCGAUGAACUAGAAAUCCACUGGGGUCUCCCCGCACAGGUUCAAAUCCUGUCGACUGCG